UACCUUUAAUUGUUUGCUUUAAUUCCUUGAAUCUCUUUCUAAGUUGUCAUAUUAUAAAUCCUUUUGGUGGUACUGUUUUCUUUCAAUUAAAUUUGUUUCUUGCUUUUGUUUCUUGACCUCUCUUUUAUGGGUGCUGGAAAUUAAUUCUCUCUUGGUGCUUAUGUGCAUGGAAAUUGACUUGAUUUAAGGCUAAGCCCUUGUGAAUAGGUGCUGGAAAUUGGAGAAUUAAAGCCAACUUUCUAAGGAGGAGUCAAGCUAAGGCCGAAACAAGUUUCUUGAAACAAACACUACAAACACCUAGAAGAUCAACAAUCAAGACAACAAAGAAAGUGCACUAACCAAAAAGAGGAACAACAAAGGGAGUUUUCUUAUCUCCUUUACAACUUGGAUUAUUGUUAAUUACCUCUUUUAAAUUACGUUUUAGACGGUGAGUGUGUCUUCGAGGGCUCAAAGUGUCCAAGAAGCCUCACCUAGGGCCGAAUAGCAUAGUUAUUUUGCUUAGUAAUUUGUUGCUUGUUUGUAAUUGCUUUUCUUUUGCUUUCAUAGAUACGUUUUGCAUGUUUAAUUUUGUUUAAGUUUUGUAAAAAACCGUCUAGCUUUGUUAAUUAGUUAGCAUGCAUUGUUGUCUUGCAUUAAAAUCUGAUUUCUCAACUUAAUUGUGUUCCAAGUGGUUUACUAAGAGAAAGCUUUGUGUGAAGACAU
rnacentral:lncRNA from 1 species